AGCAAUACUCCACUGAUACGGGAAUGGAUCCGAAGCCUCCAGAAGGCUAACAUAGGCUCUCCUUUCCCUAAUCCUGCUUAAUACGUCCUCGUCGUACAGAACGGUAACAUGCCUCUCAAUUAUCCAAGCCCCUUGGGAUGAUGAGGGGCA
rnacentral:ribozyme from 1 species